rnacentral:lncRNA from 1 species
UUUUUUUUUUUUUUUUAUCCUUACAUUUGGCAAUUUCACAUAUAACAAGUAAGUCUGUCCCAGAAAAUUUGCUUCGCAGCUGGCAGCUGGCAGCGGACAUGUGACCUAGGUUCCGGCAAUCAGAUUCAUCCAGGGAAGAUUUCAAUUUAGCUGUACAAAACAGGAGUCAAGGAUACAUGUAGAAAUCCCAUGUUUUUCCAAUGGCAAGAUAUGGGAUUUCUUGUCUGUAGAUUGUUAUCUUUCUUCAGGUCCGGAAAAUUCCCGGUCAGCUUUUCGUAUGUUGUUUUGCUCUGUUUUUCUUUCUCCAUUUAUGAAACUGGAGUUAAACUUUCACACCUUGUCCUUCAUUUAUUUUACCUUCCCUUCCAUAUUUUCUUUUUGUCUCUCCAUGCUGCGUUCUGAAUAACAUAUUCUUAAUCCACUAGUGCUCUCCACCGCUGUUUAAUCAGCUGUUAAAUCCACCCAGAGUCAAUGUAAUUUUGAGUAAACUGUAAUUUUCAGUUCCAGAAGUUCUAUCUGAUUCUUUUUCAAAAACAUGAAGCCAACAUUUUUUCAGUUUUAUUGAGAUAUAACUGACAUACAUCACUAUAUAAGUUUAAGGUCUAUAGCAUAAUGGUUUGACUUCCGUGUAUUGUGAAAUGACCACUGUCAUAGCUAACUAAAGCAUCCACUGUCACAUGUAAUAAAAAGAGAAAGGAAAAAAAGAAAAACAUUUUUCCUUGUGAUGAGAACUCUUAGGAUUUAGCCUUCGAACAAUUUUCAUGUAUAUUAUACAGCAGUGUUAACCGUCAUCAUCAUGCUGUCCAUGACAUGUUCUUAAGUUCUUAUUUAUCUUGUAAUUAGUAGUUUGUACCUUUCCCCAACCCCUGCCUCUGGUACCUGCAAAUCUGAUCUGUUUUUCUAUGAUUUGGGCGUUUUUUUCUUUUUGGUUUUGGUUUUUAGAUUCCACAUAUAAGUGAGAUCAUACACUGUUUGUCCUUCUCUGUCUGACUUGUUUCACGUAGCAUAAUGCCCUCAGGUUCCAUCCAUGUUGUCCCACAUGGCAAGAUUUCCUUAU